rnacentral:rRNA from 1 species
CAGUAGCCGCGGUAAUACGUAGGUGGCAAGCGUUGUCCGGAAUUAUUGGGCGUAAAGGGCUCGCAGGCGGUUUCUUAAGUCUGAUGUGAAAGCCCCCGGCUCAACCGGGGAGGGUCAUUGGGAACUGGGAAACUUGAGUGCAGAAGAGGAGAGUGGAAUUCCACGUGUAGCGGUGAAAUGCGUAGAGAUGUGGAGGAACACCAGUGGCGAAGGCGACUCUCUGGUCUGUAACUGACGCUGAGGAGCGAAAGCGUGGGGAGCGAACAGGAUUAGAUACCCGUGUAGUCCCUGUCUCUUAUAC